GACCUUCGCGGGGCCCGUUCCCGCCGCAGCCUCUGGGCGGGGCUUCUCCCUGCCCCGGCCUCCGCCCUCGGUGUCCGGUCGGCGGAACUGGAGCUGCUCGCCGAGCCGGCCCGCCGCACAGGACAGCGGAAGAAGGAGAUUCCUUGGAAUGAAACCAGUGGGAGAUCAGCAUUUGGAAGAGUCUCAUCAGAGCAGAUGGGCCAGCAACAGCCAGAAAGCUUGUUGCCUUUGGCUGAGAGCACCACCCUGGAUCAGAAUGUCUUAUGUAAGUUUUUCCAAAGGGGUUCUCUUCACCUUUCAGCAGAAAUGCCUACUGGAUCACCAAACAUUGAAACUGAUAGAAGUUGUGACUAUGCCAUCCCCCAGUCACCAAGAACCAAGUAUGAUCCUUCCUUUGUCAUACUUACCUUUCCAUUAAUAACAGCCUCAUUUAUGUGAUUGCCUGCAGUUCAUCUUCUCCUCUCCUCUAUCCUCAAUAGACUGGAAAUUUCAAAAGAACAUAGACCAUGUCUAUUUUGGCCCACCGACGUAUCUCUAGCACCAAGCCUGGUACAUAGUAGAUAUUCAAGAAAUAUUUGUGGAAAGAAUGGAUGAAUGAAUAGAUCACCUUGUUUUAUAGAUGAGGAAACAGAGGCACAAAGAGGUAUGGUUCUUAAUGACAAAGCUGAGAUAAGAAGUCAGGUCUCCUAGUUCACAGGCCAGACAGCAUUCUUUUUAUUUUCCUUUGUGUUCUCUCAGUAUUGGAGUUGGAACAUCUUGGGGUCUAGUCUAACCCUUUCAUUUUACGAAUGGGAAACUGAGGCCUAGAAAGGAGAAGAAUUCACCCAAGUUCACAGAUGGCAGCACUGGCAGAGCCAGGCCUAGAACCCAGGUCUCCUGACUCCCAAGCUACUGCUCUUCCUUUGUAAAGGCAUAUUAAAAACAAAGCUGAAUUGGGCUUAUUGCCAAGCCCCUGCAGGAGGUCACAUAGCCAAGCAGCUCUCAGAGUUCCUUGUCUAUUCUUAGCCUGAACUUUUAGUGACUCUGGUCUUCAGCAGCCAUCCUCCCCGCCCCCCCUUCCUUUGCAUUUGAUUUUUUGUGUAUAUGUGCUGCGUGUUUUAAAUAAAGGGUGCUACGUGUAGGAAAUGGGCUUCAGCACAGUCCUG
rnacentral:lncRNA from 1 species